rnacentral:rRNA from 1 species
GAUGAACGCUGGCGGCGUGCCUAAUACAUGCAAGUCGAACGGAGAUUGUAGCAAUACAUUCUUAGUGGCGAACGGGUGAGUAACGCGUUGGUGACCUGCCCCAAAGUGAGGGAUAACAGCCCGAAAGGGUUGCUAAUACCUCAUGUGGUCUUUGAGAUUAGAUGCUCUUAGACUAAAGGAUUUAUUCGCUUUGGGAGGGGCCUGCGUCCCAUCAGCUUGUUGGUGAGGUAAUGGCUUACCAAGGCUAUGACGGGUAGGGGACCUGAGAGGGUGACCCCCCACAAUGGAACUGAAACACGGUCCAGACUCCUACGGGAGGCAGCAGUGGGGAAUUUUGGACAAUGGGCGCAAGCCUGAUCCAGCCAUUCCGCGUGCAGGGAUGAAGGCCUUCGGGUUGUAAACUGUCUUUUGUACGGAACGAAACGGUCUGCCUAAUACGGCGGGCGUAAUGUACGGUACCGUAAGAAUAAGACACCGGCUAACUACGUGCCACGCAGCCGCGGUAACUACGUACUACU